CUCAGGUGUGCUCCCUCCAAGACUUGAGGAGCUGACAGUGGUAAAACUCCUGCCUGUCCACUAUUACCAGCAGAUGCCAAUAAGUGUAUGGGAGCUGACCAAAGACUUGCUUGUGUGGGCCAGAUGACCUACCCUACAGGCUAUUUCCAGUGGGGACUUGUUGUGACCCUCCAAUGAUCACAUUCUCCAUCUUCACUCUUGUUGUAGAACUUCCUGAAGAAGUUGAAAGCCACCACUGUGUAGAGAUACACCACCACAGCUAACAGGCCAACUGUUAACACCAGCUGGAAGAGAAGAAAGAAAAGACAAGACUACUUUGAUACACAAGGAAGUCUAGAUGGUUGUUCUGUGAUGUAAAGACCAUCAAAUUCCAGCUUCCUGGCCACCUCCUUCUCACGCUUGAAGAUCACCAGU